AGUGAACGCUGGCGGUAGGCCUAACACAUGCAAGUCGAACGGCAGCACAGUAAGAGCUUGCUCUUACGGGUGGCGAGUGGCGGACGGGUGAGGAAUACAUCGGAAUCUACUUUUUCGUGGGGGAUAACGUAGGGAAACUUACGCUAAUACCGCAUAUGACCUACGGGUGAAAGCAGGGGAUCUUCGGACCUUGCGCGAUUGAAUGAGCCUAUGUCGGAUUAGCUAGUUGGCGGGGUAAAGGCCCACCAAGGCGACGAUCCGUAGCUGGUCUGAGAGGAUGAUCAGCCACACUGGAACUGAGACACGGUCCAGACUCCUACGGGAGGCAGCAGUGGGGAAUAUUGGACAAUGGGCGCAAGCCUGAUCCAGCCAUACCGCGUGGGUGAAGAAGGCCUUCGGGUUGUAAAGCCCUUUUGUUGGGAAAGAAAAGCAGCAGGUUAAUACCCCGCUGUUCUGACGGUACCCAAAGAAUAAGCACCGGCUAACUUCGUG
rnacentral:rRNA from 1 species